AGAAGAGUUGUUACUGUUGCAGAACUUGAAAUAGUUUUGAGAUUAAGCCAAAGUCUUACAUGAGUGUAAAGACCUUCAGUGUAUUCUCAUGGCUAGCUAAUAGAUUUUUUUUUUUUUUUUUAAGGGGAAGGCUAAAUAAUUGAAAAUGUCAAUGUUAAUUCAUCAAAUCCAGGUUUAUGAAGGAGCAAAUGUGAAAUGUGCUUGUAAUCUAUUAAAGGAAGCACUAAGAUGCAGAUCAACAAUACGCUGAAGAAAAGGAAUUUGACAACGCAAUGAAGCCAGUUGUGUGUGUAUAGAUUGGAGUGGGAUGACCAGGUUGUGCUUUCUGGAGACACGUGGUGAGGAUGUGGGAUGAAGAAAGAGGGUACCACAGCUCAGAGAUGUGGGAAAGACUGUCACCUUUCCUUUCUGUGUGCUUUCUAGGACGAAGCAGGCUAUAGGAGUGAGGAGCAGUCAGGGGCAUCAGCAUCUUCAGCAGGUACAGCCCUUCCCAAAGAUGCUAGCUCCAGGCAGGCACACAGAGCUCAGAUCCAAUGGGAGUGAAUCCAUCGCUGCUCAACCUCACAAGGAAAUGACCAAGACUGAGCAGUUUCUGGCCCAAAUGAAGCAGAUCCCCUCAUUGUAGCUCUUGCUGCGUGUGGUUUAGUUUUAGCGAGUGGAAUUUCUUUGAUGGAUUCAAGGUGAUGCAAUGGCUCAUUGGCUGUUUUCAAGUGAUAACUGCUCAGAGAUGAAGGGAUCUGGGAGGAAAAUCAGCUGCACUUUGGUGGGGUUUGAAAGUUAAAACUGACUGGCCAAGAGUGGGAAAUGAACGUGUAGCUUUAUUUAACAACAGUAGUAAUACAAAUGGCCUCUUUAUCAUCUGCUUGGUAGAGAUAAAGGGUUGAACUUGUAAAUUAGUUAUGUAUUUUAGGACAGUUCUAGAUUUUGAUAGCAUAGCUUUAAACAAUAGGAUUGGAAAAACUCGGAGCAGGAAUUCGGGUACAUGGCAUGUUAGCUGUGGAAGCACUUUCUCUAAGGGUGAGCAGCAGAGCUGCUGCUCGUCACUUCUCCAGAGCUGUCAAUCACACCCCUUUACCAAGCAAGUAAAAAAAAGAA